rnacentral:rRNA from 1 species
GAGCGAUGGAAGCUUGCUUCUAUCAAUCUUAGUGGCGAACGGGUGAGUAACGCGUAAUCAACCUCCCCUUCAGAGGGGGACAACAGUUGGAAACGACUGCUAAUACCGCAUACGAUCUAAUCUCGGCAUCGAGGAUAGAUGAAAGGUGGCCUCUACAUGUAAGCUAUCACUGAAGGAGGGGAUUGCGUCUGAUUAGCUAGUUGGAGGGGUAACGGCCCACCAAGGCGAUGAUCAGUAGCCGGUCUGAGAGGAUGAACGGCCACAUUGGGACUGAGACACGGCCCAGACUCCUACGGGAGGCAGCAGUGGGGAAUCUUCCGCAAUGGACGAAAGUCUGACGGAGCAACGCCGCGUGAGUGAUGACGGCCUUUCGGGUUGUAAAGCUCUGUUAAAUCGGGACGAAAAGGCCCUGCUUGCGAA